rnacentral:rRNA from 1 species
UUAAGCGACUAAGCGUACACGGUGGAUGCCCUGGCAGUCAGAGGCGAUGAAGGACGUGCUAAUCUGCGAAAAGCGUCGGUAAGGUGAUAUGAACCGUUAUAACCGGCGAUGUCCGAAUGGGGAAACCCAGUGCAAUUCGUUGCACUAUCGUUAACUGAAUACAUAGGUUAACGAGGCGAACCGGGGGAACUGAAACAUCUAAGUACCCCGAGGAAAAGAAAUCAACCGAGAUUCCCCCAGUAGCGGCGAGCGAACGGGGAGCAGCCCAGAGUCUGAAUCAGCUUGUGUGUUAGUGGAACGGUCUGGAAAGUCCGACGGUACAGGGUGAUAGUCCCGUACACCAAAAUGCACAGGCUGUGAACUCGAAGAGUAGGGCGGGACACGUGGUAUCCUGUCUGAAUAUGGGGGGACCAUCCUCCAAGGCUAAAUACUCCUGACUGACCGAUAGUGAACCAGUACCGUGAGGGAAAGGCGAAAAGAACCCCGGCGAGGGGAGUGAAAAAGAACCUGAAACCGUGUACGUACAAGCAGUGGGAGCACCUUCGGGUGUGACUGCGUACCUUUUGUAUAAUGGGUCAGCGACUUAUAUUCUGUAGCAAGGUUAACCGUAUAGGGGAGCCGCAGGGAAACCGAGUCUUAACUGGGCGUUAAGUUGCAGGGUAUAGACCCGAAACCCGGUGAUCUAGCCAUGGGCAGGUUGAAGGUUGGGUAACACUAACUGGAGGACCGAACCGACUAAUGUUGAAAAAUUAGCGGAUGACUUGUGGCUGGGGGUGAAAGGCCAAUCAAACCGGGAGAUAGCUGGUUCUCCCCGAAAGCUAUUUAGGUAGCGCCUCGUGAACUCAUCUUCGGGGGUAGAGCACUGUUUCGGCUAGGGGGUCAUCCCGACUUACCAACCCGAUGCAAACUACGAAUACCGAAGAAUGUUAUCACGGGAGACACACGGCGGGUGCUAACGUCCGUCGUGAAGAGGGAAACAACCCAGACCGCCAGCUAAGGUCCCAAAGUCAUGGUUAAGUGGGAAACGAUGUGGGAAGGCACAGACAGCCAGGAUGUUGGCUUAGAAGCAGCCAUCAUUUAAAGAAAGCGUAAUAGCUCACUGGUCGAGUCGGCCUGCGCGGAAGAUGUAACGGGGCUAAACCAUGCACCGAAGCUGCGGCAGCGACACUAUGUGUUGUUGGGUAGGGGAGCGUUCUGUAAGCCUGCGAAGGUGACCUGUGAGGGUUGCUGGAGGUAUCAGAAGUGCGAAUGCUGACAUAAGUAACGAUAAAGCGGGUGAAAAGCCCGCUCGCCGGAAGACCAAGGGUUCCUGUCCAACGUUAAUCGGGGCAGGGUGAGUCGACCCCUAAGGCGAGGCCGAAAGGCGUAGUCGAUGGGAAACAGGUUAAUAUUCCUGUACUUGGUGUUACUGCGAAGGGGGGACGGAGAAGGCUAUGUUAGCCGGGCGACGGUUGUCCCGGUUUAAGCAUGUAGGCUGAUUGUCCAGGCAAAUCCGGAUAAUCAAGGCUGAGGUGUGAUGACGAGGCACUACGGUGCUGAAGUAACAAAUGCCCUGCUUCCAGGAAAAGCCUCUAAGCAUCAGGUAACAUUAAAUCGUACCCCAAACCGACACAGGUGGUCAGGUAGAGAAUACCAAGGCGCUUGAGAGAACUCGGGUGAAGGAACUAGGCAAAAUGGUGCCGUAACUUCGGGAGAAGGCACGCUGGUGUGUAGGUGAAGCCCCUGCGGGUGGAGCUGAGACCAGUCGAAGAUACCAGCUGGCUGCAACUGUUUAUUAAAAACACAGCACUGUGCAAACACGAAAGUGGACGUAUACGGUGUGACGCCUGCCCGGUGCCGGAAGGUUAAUUGAUGGGGUUAUCCGUAAGGAGAAGCUCUUGAUCGAAGCCCCGGUAAACGGCGGCCGUAACUAUAACGGUCCUAAGGUAGCGAAAUUCCUUGUCGGGUAAGUUCCGACCUGCACGAAUGGCGUAAUGAUGGCCAGGCUGUCUCCACCCGAGACUCAGUGAAAUUGAACUCGCUGUGAAGAUGCAGUGUACCCGCGGCAAGACGGAAAGACCCCGUGAACCUUUACUAUAGCUUGACACUGAACAUUGAGCCUUGAUGUGUAGGAUAGGUGGGAGGCUUUGAAGCGUGGACGCCAGUCUGCGUGGAGCCAACCUUGAAAUACCACCCUUUAAUGUUUGAUGUUCUAACGUUGGCCCCUGACCGGGGUUGCGGACAGUGUCUGGUGGGUAGUUUGACUGGGGCGGUCUCCUCCCAAAGCGUAACGGAGGAGCACGAAGGUUAGCUAAUCCUGGUCGGACAUCAGGAGGUUAGUGCAAUGGCAUAAGCUAGCUUGACUGCGAGCGUGACGGCGCGAGCAGGUGCGAAAGCAGGUCAUAGUGAUCCGGUGGUUCUGAAUGGAAGGGCCAUCGCUCAACGGAUAAAAGGUACUCCGGGGAUAACAGGCUGAUACCGCCCAAGAGUUCAUAUCGACGGCGGUGUUUGGCACCUCGAUGUCGGCUCAUCACAUCCUGGGGCUGAAGUAGGUCCCAAGGGUAUGGCUGUUCGCCAUUUAAAGUGGUACGCGAGCUGGGUUUAGAACGUCGUGAGACAGUUCGGUCCCUAUCUGCCGUGGGCGCUGGAGAAUUGAGGGGGGCUGCUCCUAGUACGAGAGGACCGGAGUGGACGCAUCACUGGUGUUCGGGUUGUCAUGCCAAUGGCACUGCCCGGUAGCUAAAUGCGGAAGAGAUAAGUGCUGAAAGCAUCUAAGCACGAAACUUGCCCCGAGAUGAGUUCUCCCUGAGACUUUAAGUCUCCUGAAGGAACGUUAAAGACGAUGACGUUGAUAGGCCGGGUGUGUAAGCGCAGCGAUGCGUUGAGCUAACCGGUACUAAUGAACCGUGAGGCUUAACCUU